rnacentral:rRNA from 1 species
GACAGAGGGUGCAAACGUUGUUCGGAAUUACUGGGCGUAAAGCGCGUGUAGGCGGCUAAGUAAGUCGGGCGUGAAAUCCCACGGCUCAACCGUGGAAGUGCACUCGAAACUGCAUAGCUAGAGUCCUGGAGAGGAAGGUGGAAUGCUUGGUGUAGAGGUGAAAUGCGUAGAUAUCUGGAGGAACACCGGUGGCGAAGGCGGCAUCCUGGACCGACACUGACGCUGAGGAGCGAAAGCCAGGGGAGCAAACGGG